rnacentral:rRNA from 1 species
GACGUAGGGCGCGAGCGUUGUCCGGAUUUAUUGGGCGUAAAGAGCUCGUAGGCGGCUUGUCGCGUCGAUCGUGAAAACUUGGGGCUCAACCCCAAGCCUGCGGUCGAUACGGGCAGGCUCGAGUUCGGUAGGGGAGACUGGAAUUCCUGGUGUAGCGGUGAAAUGCGCAGAUAUCAGGAGGAACACCGGUGGCGAAGGCGGUUCUCUGGGCCUUACCUGACGCUGAGGAGCGAAAGCGUGGGGAGCGAACAGG